UACGUAGGUGGCAAGCGUUGUCCGGAUUUACUGGACGUAAAGGAUGCGUAGGCGGACAUUUAAGUCAGAUGUGAAAUACCCGAGCUUAACUUGGGUGCUGCAUUUGAAACUGGGUGUCUAGAGUGCAGGAGAGGUAAGUGGAAUUCCUAGUGUAGCGGUGAAAUGCGUAGAGAUUAGGAAGAACACCAGUGGCGAAGGCGACUUACUGGACUGUAACUGACGCUGAGGCAUGAAAGCGUGGGGAGCAAACAGG
rnacentral:rRNA from 1 species